rnacentral:rRNA from 1 species
AUUGAACGCUGGCGGCAUGCCUUACACAUGCAAGUCGAACGGCAGCACGGGAGCAAUCCUGGUGGCGAGUGGCGAACGGGUGAGUAAUAUAUCGGAACGUGCCCAGUCGUGGAGGAUAACGUAGCGAAAGCUACGCUAAUACCGCAUACGAUCUAUGGAUGAAAGCGGGGGAUCGCAAGACCUCGCGCGAUUGGAGCGGCCGAUAUCAGAUUAGGUAGUUGGUGAGGUAAAGGCUCACCAAGCCGACGAUCUGUAGCUGGUCUGAGAGGACGACCAGCCACACUGGGACUGAGACACGGCCCAGACUCCUACGGGAGGCAGCAGUGGGGGAAUUUUUGGACAAUAGGCGGCAAGACCUCGAUCCACGCGAAUAG